CAGCAGCCGCGGUAAUACGGAGGGUGCAAGCGUUAAUCGGAAUUACUGGGCGUAAAGCGCACGCAGGCGGUCUGACAAGUCAGAUGUGAAAUCCCCGGGCUUAACCUGGGAACUGCAUUUGAAACUGUCAGGCUGGAGUCUUGUAGAGGGGGGUGGAAUUCCAGGUGUAGCGCUGAAAUGCGUAGAGAUCUGGAGGAAUACCGGUGGCGAAGGCGGCCCCCUGGACAAAGACUGACGCUCAGGUGCGAAAGCGUGGGGAGCAAACAGGAUUAGAUACCCGUGUAGUCCCUGUCUCUUAUAC
rnacentral:rRNA from 1 species